AUGGAGUCUCAGCACGCCUCCAGGGGCCGCCGCACCCUGGAGGAGAUCCGGCAGAAGAGGGCAGCCGAGAGGAUGCAGCAGCAAACGCCCGCCGCGACCGCGUCCCACGGCGACCCUCACGGGAACCAAAGAGCCGCGGCAGAGCUCCUUGCACGAGUUCAACAACUUGAAAAUGGGAACUUGGAAUUGGAGAGGGAAAACCAAAUGCUGAUGUCCAAGGAAGUCGAAAAGGAUUCCCUGGUUAACCGAUUGAAUGACAUCGAGAAAAAUGUAGUGCCCUCGUUGAAAAAGGCUCUAAAUGACAUUUCAUUGGAGAAAGACGCUGCAGUUAUCGCUAAGGAGGAUGCUCUAGCGCAAGUAAGGAGCAUGAAGAAGCGGUUGAGAGAGGCAGAAGAGGAGCAGUACAGGGCAGAAGAAGACUCUGCAUCCUUGAGAGCGCAGCUCAAUACCCUGCAGCAGCAAGUAAUGAGCAACUCUUACAGUGGAUAUGCAGUGGGAACAUCAAGUGAGCAAACUCUUGCCAUGGAAAAGGAGAUACAGGAUUUACAAACUCAGCUAAAGCAAGAGUCACUGCUAAGGCAACAGGAGCAGCAAAAACUAGCUGAAGAGUCCCUACUGAGGCAGCAAGAUCAGCAAAGGCUAGUUGAAGAACAAUCCCGUACCACUUCUCUUGCGGCUGAAAAGCGAGAGAUGGAAGAGAAAAUUGCUGCAUUAACAAAGAAAUCUUCAGAAGAGGCUUCUGAAUUUGCUGCACGCAAGGCAUUUUCAAUGCAAGAUAGGGAAAAACUUGAAAACCAGUUGCAUGAUAUGGCUUUGAUGGUUGAGAGGUUAGAGGGCAGCCGCCAAAAGCUGCUGAUGGAGAUUGAUUCCCAGUCAUUAGAAAUAGAGAAUCUGUUUGAGGAGAACUCAGUCUUGUCAACAUCAUAUCAAGAAGCUAUGUCUGUUACGAUGCAAUGGGAGAACCAGGUUAAAGAUUGUCUGAAGCAAAAUGAAGAGCUUCGUCUCCACUUAGAGAAGCUAAGAAUUGAGCAAGCUAACCUGUUGAAAACAAAAAAUACUAGUGUCGAGCUAGAUGGCCAAAGUGAGACCAGCAUCCCACCAGAACUGGUCACAGAGAAUCUUUCUCUAAAGGAUGAACUUGUCAAAGAACAGAGCAGAUCUGAGGGAUUAUCGGCAGAGAUAAUGAAACUUUCAGCUCAGCUUAGAAAGGCAGUCCAAGCACAGAAUAACCUGACACGCUUAUAUAGACCUGUAUUAAAAGACAUCGAGGGUAAUCUGAUGAAAAUGAAACAAGAAACUUAUGCGACAAUUCUAUGA
rnacentral:rRNA from 1 species